rnacentral:rRNA from 1 species
AUUGAACGCUGGCGGCAGGCCUAACACAUGCAAGUCGAACGGUAACAGGAAGAAGCUUGCUUCUUUGCUGACGAGUGGCGGACGGGUGAGUAAUGUCUGGGAAACUGCCUGAUGGAGGGGGAUAACUACUGGAAACGGUAGCUAAUACCGCAUAACGUCGCAAGACCAAAGAGGGGGACCUUCGGGCCUCUUGUCAUCGGAUGUGCCCAGAUGGGAUUAGCUAGUAGGUGGGGUAACGGCUCACCUAGGCGACGAUCCCUAGCUGGUCUGAGAGGAUGACCAGCCACACGGGAACUGAGACACGGUCCAGACUCCUACGGGAGGCAGCAGUGGGGAAUAUUGCACAAUGGGCGCAAGCCUGAUGCAGCCAUGCCGCGUGUAUGAAGAAGGCCUUCGGGUUGUAAAGUACUUUCAGCGGGGAGGAAGGGAGUAAAGUUAAUACCUUUGCUCAUUGACGUUACCCGCAGAAGAAGCACCGGCUAACUCCGUG